UAGAAAAUAGUUUAACAAGUAAAACUAAGAAAUUUGAAUUCUUUAAUAUAAGUGCAAACCUUAUUUUUCUAA
rnacentral:tRNA from 1 species